rnacentral:lncRNA from 1 species
GCCAGAGACCUUAAGAUUUAUUUUAUUUUAUUUUUAAUUACGUGUGUGUGUGUGUGUGUGUGUGUGUGUGUGUGUGUAUGUAAGUAAGUAUGGGUUCCCUCAGAGAUAUUUCACCACCACCACCCCCAGCUGGAGUUACAGGAGAUUGUGAGAUGCCCCACAUAGGUGCUGGACGGUCCUUGGGAAGUAAAAUAUGCAUUCUUAAAACCUGGGCCAGGGGCUGGUGAGAUGGCUCAGUGGGUAAGAGCACCCGACUGCUCUUCCGAAGGUCCAGAGUUCAAAUCCCAGCAACCACAUGGUGGCUCACAACCAUCCGUAAUGAGAUCUGACUCCCUCUUCUGGAGUGUCUGAAGACAGCUACAGUGUACUUACAUAUAAUCAAUAAAUAAAUCUUUAAAAAAAAAAAAAAAAAAAAAAAAAAAAAAACCUGGGCCAUGCUUGGCUCACUGUCUCAAGCCUUAGUGAUUGGGAUGCCUGAGGUACACUCCAGUGAAUACUUGAAUACCAGUGACUAGGUUAAAUGCUCUUGCUGAUGUCUCUGUUGACUUGUCAGCCAACAGUGGCUGUAUGCAGCAGCAUUAUCUGUGUAGCGUAUGCAGCAUAUCUGUGUAGCGUGUAUUCAGAGCUAACAAGCCAGGCUGAAGGUUGAACUCCAAGCUCAGGGAACUGACAUGCCCCAGAACAUGCCUUCAUGAGCAUGCAUGUUAGAUGUUUCACAUACUACAGGCAGAUUAAAGACUCAAGGAGUCUUGUGCUCAGCAAAGGGUCUGCAUUAAAAAAAGCUAGUAGAAGUUAGUGGGCAUGCUAGAUAACAGCUGGAGUAAGAACAGCCAAGGGGUCCAUGAGGCUGGGGAACGUGGCUUUGAGAUUCCAGAAAACAAAGGAGAUGAGUGUUUCAGCACUGACUGAUCCUAGCACAGCUGGGAUUUGUGAAAUUCUUUCUGUGUGUCACCUGAAUUGCACAUGUGAGCCCAAUUCUCACAGAUAACUAUGGGGAAAGUGACACAAAAAAACAGUCAUAGAUCCUCAGUGUCCCAAAGGAAAAGGUGUAAGCAGUAUACCUGGAGGACUGUGGCCUAAGUGGAAUUUUAAAAACAUGAAUCUGGGGCUGGGAUUAAAAGCACUUGCUGUAUGAGCCUGACAACAUGAGUUUGAUUUCUGGAAUGCAGUCCAUGGGGGGAGUGAAGAUCUGAGUCCAGAAGGGUUUCCACUAACUUUCAUGUACAAACACAGCCCACACACAACAAGGGGAAUGUUAUAAAGAAGUGGAUUUACCCAAGAAUGAUGGCCCACGUCUGUUAUUCUCGGUUAUGGCAGAGGAUUGCCAUGGGUUCUAGGCCUGCUUGGACUACAAAAUGAGACCCUGUCUCAACAAAACACAGAGCAGGGAGAAGGGUGGUUCAGAAAGCUUGACUUUCCAGAGCUGGGGGCAACAUGGUGGGGUUGUUUUUAUACUGUAAAGACUAGGACACUGGAUUCGAGAGUGUGUGGGUGUCUGUGUGUCUGUGUGUGUGUGUGUGUGUGUGUGUGUGUAUGUGUGUGCGUGCACGCGCGCGCGUAUGUACAAAUGUGUUAGGGAACACUGAUGAGAAAGAUUGAAGUAAAAACAAAAGUAAUGCCCAGGUGCAGUUUUCAUUACAAAGUCAUAAACGAAAGGCAUUUAGUGAAAUUAGUUGCACUUUCCUAGCUAAAAGACUAAAAACUCACUAACUAGAACUAUAGAUUCUAGAGUCAGCAAGAUAACCAGCUCAGUGGGUAUACGUGCUUGCUGUGUGACUCUGGUGACCUGAGUUCAGUCCCAGGAACCCAGAGGGUAAAGAGGGGAACCAAGUCCUGAAAGUUACCUUCUGACCUCUAUAUAUAGUCUGGCAUCUACAUGAAGAUGGUGAUAGAGAACAUUUUUAAUUAAAAAUAUUUUGUUUACACAUGGGCUGCUUCAGGGCUGCUGAGAUAGACCUGUGGUUAUAACCAUAUUCUUCUCUUCCAGAGGCCCCAGGCUCAGUUCUCAGCGUCCACAUGGCCUCUUAACAACCUUCUGUAACUCCAGUUCCAGGACACCAACCCCCUCUUCUGGCCGCUGUGGCACUAGGCAUCUACAUGGUGAAUAGUCAUGCAUGCAGGCCAAACACUCAUACAUAUAAAAUAAUAAUACAGGAGGGGAAAGAAAAAGAAGAGUCUGCUUGCUGAGUCUGGUGAUAACCGGUCUUUAAUCCCAGUACUCAGAAGGCAGAAGCAGUAAGGUCGUUGAGGGGUUGAGUGGUGGUAUUGCACAGUUCACCUAUGCUACCUACUCACUGCAGUUUUUCUUUCUUACCUUUUUAAAGUGGUCCUGACCAUU